rnacentral:misc_RNA from 1 species
GAGGAGGAGUUUUCAGGACCUCCAGUGAAUGUGAUAGUAGAGCUGCUUCUAGCGUUAUCGUUCUGUAUGUGGGCUGCUUUAACUGCAGCGGGAAAGUUCCUUUCCGUACAUCAUCAUUCUGAAGAGAAUAGGUAUUGUAUAUUUUUAUCUGCUUUCAUUUGUUAAAUGGGAUUUCUUGUCAGUGUAUUUUAGACUGGAGGAUUCUAUGCAAUUCAUUUGGGAGGGGUUUAUUACUUGCUGUCCAUGGCAUAAUAGCUAAAUUCUGAUUAGUUGAUAACAUUAGUUGAUAACAUUGUCAAAAGAUUCUUGUGAAAGUUUUCAUUAACUCCUAAUUCAUGUUGAUUGUCGAAUAGGCCUUUUUGAGAUUCUUAAGUAAUGAUUUCUAUAUUAACCCCAAAAAUGAUGAGCUUAGAUUAGCUGAAUAAUUUGAAAUUUAAUUUUUUUGUUGAGAAAUUUAGCCCCACAUACAAUAUUAUUCAAUCAAUGAACUCUGCACAUUGAAAAGGCAAAAGGACAACCUUGGUUAAAUCAAAAUGGGAUAUGCUGGAUAGCUGAUUUGCAUAUAAAAGGCGCAAGUAAACAACAACUCAAGUUGCUUUUUUCAAUAAUUGCAAUUAGAAUUAGAUCAUUCCUUAUAAAAUUUGAUACUGUAUAUGCUUGAAACAAUAUUAAAGGUCUAUGGAUGUUGCUUGAGUUGUUUGAUACAUGGCAUGUUUUGAUUAGGCUUUACAGCUAACACCUAUUUAAAAAGCAGUUUGUAAUUCAAGGGUGAAACAAAUCCAUGAUAUCGCCUUUUGUUGAGAUUGUUCAUUGUAAGGCUCAUUAAUUGUGCUUUCUAAUCCCAUAAACUUGUGCUUUCUAGUCCCAUAAACUAUGUUGUUGCCUUGUACUCUAAUUGUGCUUGUGACACUUGUUUCUUAACUAAACUAAACUAAACUAAGUCUUUAUCUCAAAAAUU